rnacentral:lncRNA from 1 species
CCCGGCUCCAAGGUGGCGGCGGGGAAGGCAAGGCCGGGCACCACGUGACCCCACCGCUGCCGCCACGUGGGUGGGACGCGCAGCCGGGACGGGGGGCCGGGACGAAAGCGGGGCUGGCUGCGGGGCGCUGCCGGGGAGCGCACGGGGGCGUGGUUGUGGGGCUGAGACGGGCAGCUGAGGGGCAGAUAAGGGCCUGGGGGAGGCAGCUGAGUCUGGGUCAUGGCGCCCAGACGGGCGGCGAGCUCUGGGUACGGGGCUGAGGGGAGGAGCAGGGUCCGGUGAGGAGGGGGAGCGGCGCCCGGGGAUGGGGAGCAAGGACGACAGACAGCCAAGCCGCGUCACCGUCCGUCCCUUUACUGCCGCCACCGCACCCGGCCCCACCGGCGGGGGCCACGUAAGGCACAGAGGGGCCGACGGCCCCGGGCACAGCCCCCCGGGUCCCUGAGCCGCGGGGCACCGGCCCCCCUCCUCCCGUCCUCCGCGCUGCCAUCACGCGCUGUGGUCCAGGGCCACCUCGCCCAGCUUGUCCCCGAGCUGCUGGAUCUGCUGGGCCGAGCUGGCGUCGGGCAGCAGCACCUCCACGCUGUAGCUCACCUUCUUGGCGUGGAUGUAGCUGUAGGUGUUGUCGAAGCGCAGCACGUCUGCGGGAC